UAUUAAAAUAGAAGGAGUAUACCAUCAGUACUAUAUUAAAAUAGAAUGAGUAUAUAUCACCCAAUCAAGAUAUUUAAAAAGUAAUUUCUCUAACAUUUAGUAGAUUUUAGAAAUAUGUAUGAUAUUUUACUGUAUUGGUUAUGGAAAUUAAUUAUUUUGAUCUUAUUCACAUGAUAGUUUUCAGAUAUGUGUCCUAGAAAGAGUUUCUUUCUAUGUUUCUCUAAUCAAUAUAAACGCUCUAUCCCAUUUUUCAGUAUCAAAACAUUUGUAACAAUCAAAUAAUCAUUGUGUUAACAUAAUCCUCUAAUUUUUUCACACGUCAUGGCAAAAAUGUUCAUCUAUAUAUAAAACAUUUCAACUAAUCAUUUUCAGAUAAUAUAUGCUCUUUCAUUUUUAUAAUAAUAUAUACUUACUUAGAACUCUUGCUUUGUUCCUAAAGUAUAUAUUUAAAUAAGGUCGACGAUCUAUUUCUCCACGAGAACUAUGAUAUAGCAUCAGAUGUCUCCCGAACUAUAAUCUCGUUCUAUAUAUCUCUGGAGAAAAGUUUAAAAUCUAUUUCCCCACAAAUCUUGUUUUUUUAGAAAACCAGUAAAAAAAACCAUUAAAACCCAUUAAGCCUGAAAAUUGAACCGAAAAACGGCUCAAACUAAAUAUUUGAUCUAACAUAAUACAGAUUCGUAAACACCCACUUAAACCGAUAUUAAACCAAAUCAAACUGAAUCACUACGGCUUAAGUCCUCUUCAAUGUUUUCUGUCACCGGCAAAAUCAUUCACAUCACCGAGAAUUCUCUAUUUUAAUAUUUGUUAUUUCACUUGGGUCUGGAACAAUGAUGCGUAAUCAAAGCUUACAUGGAGUUGUCUACAUCACGAGAAUCAAGAAAUCAAUGGGAAACUGAGAGAUGUGGGAGAUAUGAGAGACUGAUUUAAAUCAGAUUAAUUAGAAAAAUUAGGAGAGGUGAGAGACUUAAGCUUUAUCUGUAUACUUGAAUGGAGAGGGAAGCUUUUAAGGGUCAAUGUAAACGGCGAUUCGGUUAAGGAAUGAGCUAUAUACGGCGUUGUGGGAAUGAAGGUCAGAAGUAAUAGCUGAAUGAGAACUUUAAUCUGUGGAUGAGCACAAGAGAACAAAAAGGACAGCUAAAGAAGAAGAAGAAUGGAUGGGAGUAUGCUAGAGAUGUUUGGUGUGUUUCUGAAGAAAACUCAUAAGUAAUAGCUGAAGUAAUAAGAAAGAGAUGAUGAUAUGUUUUCAAUUUGGGGAUUUUUAGUUUUAGGGUUCUUUAUAGAUGAAGAAUUAUAAAUUUUAGGGAUUUAAUUUGGUCUGGAUAUUAAACCGGCGAUUCUGGUUUUGUUAAAUGUAUUUUGAUUUUAAUUGGGUUUUGAUUCGGUUUAGUUUCAACUUUACAUGGUGUCGGUUUGAUUUCUAAUCAGUAAACAAUUUUAAUUAUGAUCUAUGGGUUUUCAGAUUUCAAACUUUAAUUUUAUGGAGAAAUGAGUGUUAAAAUUUUAAUUUGUGGUAAAAAUAGAUCUUAAACUUUGUUUUCGGGAAUAUAUAGAAUGAUGUCAUAGUUCGGGAGAUAUCUGAUGUUAUAUCAUCGUUUUGUGGAGAAAUAGAUUGUCGACCUAGAAUAUAAUGUUAAACUAGAUCUGAAAUCAUUAUCGUCACGUUCUAAAAAAUCUAUAUAUAUAAAGAAGAGUUUCCUUCACUCCUAUAUAUAUAAAAAAUCUAUAUAUAUAAAGAAGGGUUUUCUUCACUCCUAGACUAUCCACAUAGGAUGCCACGUCACAAAUUUGUUAAUCCACAGCGCGACACGUGUCCUCUACAUCAAAUUCGGCGUUUCAUUAAAGUGAUGUGUAUAUAAUUAUUGGGCUACGUUGUGUGUAUGGGCUCAAAAUAUUACUUAAACCUGACAGUCCUAUAACGCGAAACUUUUAUCUUCCUCUUAUGCGUCCUAUCGAAUUUUAUGGUUCUUCGUACUCUUUGAUAUCCGACAACGACGAUCUUCUAACAUGUUCUCCAACAUCAACAAUGGAGAUCCGAAAGAUUGAGAUGCUUAAAUCAACGUGAAGAAUCUCUCAGUAAGGCUUCAUAGCGUCGUUUGAUAUUCCUUUCAUAUCAACCGAAACAUUCUGAGUUUCGGAUUCAACGUCUUUAUCGCCUUCUCAACUCCAUCAACCCCUUUCUAGCAUUCAAUGCAAAGUUUCUUCUCUGCAAGGCGGUCUAUCUGCGACUAUAAAAAGGUUAGCGUUCCUCUCUUGAAAACCAUCCUCUCAAUCUGUGAAAAUAACAAAGUAAACUUUUUCCCAGAGAUGACUAACUCUUCUGUUCUGCUUUCUGAUUUGAUUCCCUACUCCAAAUAUUAUAUUCUAAAAUCUUUCAGUCGAACUUUGUUAUUUCAUGGGUUGUUAGAGCAUGUGAUAUUGAUUUUUUCAUAGCAUUGUGUUGUCUACAGUUUUGUGCAGUUUCUCUGAAUACGUAAGCAAAUUACUAGAGAUUGAUGCAGUUUUGGUCCAGCAUGAGACCCAAUUAAGGAAAUUACAGAAUCAUUGAGGCAGCAUGGAAUCUGUUGUACAAGGAAAAACUAAAAGACAAGGCUGUGGGAGGAAGGGAUCCUUCAGGAGGAGAGAUUGUUGAGAAAGGCCGCAGAGAGGGCGCAAAAGAGGAUGAUGAAAUAACUGAGAAUCGCCCGCAUCUUGACCUGCUAUGAAACAUGGUUAGAAUGCUGAAGGUAGAAACAAACUUGCGGGUUUAGUGUCUGUUCUUUUAUGUGUGUUGACCAAGCUUAUACUCAUGAAUUAGAGAUGAUGUUUUCAAGCGUAUAA